rnacentral:tmRNA from 1 species
GGGGUUGUAAUGGUUUCGACAGGUUUAUGUUUGAUUCAGGAUGCAGUGGAGUUGUGACCUAAUCACAAAAAAUUUAAACGCUAACACAAGAUCUAAUUACGCAUUUGCCUAAGUCGCGUCGCGCAGCAUUUGCCCCGGUCACCGCAUUAGCCGUUCUGCUGUGACUGCGUAGUAAAACGGAUUGGAUGAUCCUGAUGUCUGUAGGGUGAUUCUGAAAUCAUACAGGCGAAUUCAUCAGGCGGUUCGCUUACUGACAUGCCUGAUGUCUUAUUCAACAGUAAGAUAAACUGUGAUAAAUGCCUGAAUGUGGGACAAUUCUUGGACAGGGGUUCGACUCCCCUCAGCUCCAC